rnacentral:rRNA from 1 species
GGACCCCACUGCUAUCGGGAUAGGACUAAGACAUGCUAGUCAAGCGCUCUUUAGCUAUGAAUAGAGUGCGGCGCACAGCUCAGUAACACGUGGCUAACCUGCCCUAGGGACAGAGACAACCCCGGGAAACUGGGGCUAAUCCCUGAUAGGUGAAGAACUAUGUGGAAUGAGUCUCCCCCCCAAAAAAAGCCUUUCAUCCAUCGUAGGCGUCGCCUUAGGAUGGGGCCGCGACCGAUCAGGUUGUUGGUGAGGUAACGGCUCACCAAGCCAUUUACCGGUACGGGCCGUGAGAGCGGGAGCCCGGAGAUGGGCACUGAGACAAGGGCCCAGGCCCCUACGGGGCGCAGCAGUCGCGCAAACUUUGCAAUACACGAAAGUGUGACAGGGCUAUCCCGAGUGCCGCCCGCUGAGGGUGGCUUUUACCCAGUAUAACAAGCUGGGAGAAUAAGGAGAGGGCAAGACUGGUGUCG